rnacentral:rRNA from 1 species
CAUGCAUGUCUAAGUACACACGAAUUAAAAGUGAAACCGCAAAAGGCUCAUUAUAUCAGUUAUGGUUCAUUAGAUCGUUAACAGUUACUUGGAUAACUGUGGUAAUUCUAGAGCUAAUACAUGCAAUAUAAACACGGACCUUUUGGAACGUGUGCUUUUAUUAGGCUAAAACCAAGCGAUUUUAUUCAAAAUCGUUAUUAUGGUUGAACUCUAGAUAAUUUGCCGAUCGUAUGGUCUCGUACCGACGACAGAUCUUUCAAAUGUCUGCCCUAUCAACUAUUGAUGGUAGUAUCUAGGACUACCAUGGUUGCAACGGGUAACGGGGAAUCAGGGUUCGAUUCCGGAGAGGGAGCCUGAGAAACGGCUACCACAUCUAAGGAAGGCA